GCCUGGGUGGCUCAGUUGGUUAAGCGUCUGACUUUGGUUCAGGUCAUGAUCUCGUGGUUUGUGAGUUCAAGCCCUGCACCAGGCU
rnacentral:tRNA from 1 species